CUUCUAUAAAUACCUCUGCUACGUUCCUCCCCACCAUGUAUCAGAAGCAUUUAAUGUCACAUAAUGGUUGCUAGCUAUCCUUCUACCAUUUCAUUUCAAUUUUUUUAUAUAUAUAUAUACAAUAAAAGGGUAGUAGUAUUGGUGAUCUUAUUACAUACAUAUAUAGCACUUCAUCUUCUUCUUCAUAAUGGUGUGAGUUUUUUUUUUUAUAAUAUAGUGUGGAAGAAUCUGUAAAGCUCAGGAGGGAUAGCGCCACGGAAGCAUCGACGAUGAUCCGUUGUUUGUGAAGAGUUUUUACGCUCUUUGAUCUUCUGUAGCGCUAUCCAUCCUGAGUUUCAUGGGUUCUUCACACUGCUUCCAAUGAAUCUUUGGAUUUUUUUUUUUUUUGGGAUAUGUGGAUGAAUAUGAUCUAUGCUUUCAUCAUAAGAAGAAGAAAAACGUAACACCAAUAUUGGAUUAUUGGUCCCUCAUAAUAAUCAUGCACUAUACAAGAGCAAGUGGCUUGGUUAGAAUGAAUAUGGAGAAAAAUGGAGGAGAGAAAAAAAAAAAAAAAAACUAAAAUUGUAAAGCUAUAUGGAUUAUCAAGUUCUUAUUUUCUUUCUCUUUUUGUUUUCAUCAAAGAGCUCUCUUAUAUUAAUUUUGUGUGUCCUUUGGUAUAAUAUUCAUCUUUAGCAUCACAUCAAAGAUUUGAUACAAACAUGAGAUAGAAUAUGUUUACAAAUUAAAUAUAUAAUUUUUUAUUUUUGAAAGUAAAUGUAUUAUUAUUCUUUUAGUUGCUUAAAAGGUUGUAAUAAAUGUAUCACUUGAAUUAUUGAAGUAGUGUAUAUAUAUGUCCAAUGAUGAUACACCACAAAAAGUUGAGAUCUUCUAAUUAUAUUCUCAUCACCAUAAUAUACGUUUCUUGUGGUGUUGUUGAAGUCAUCAAAAUAGCAAGAAAAGAGUUUAUUUGAUUUUAUUGAGGAGGUAUAUCUGAGUUUCAUUAUUGAGGAAAGCAUAGCUUUAAAUCUAAGAGUACUAUAGGGUGUGUAGUACUUUUUAAUUUCCAUUAUUUUGUGGCCUUUUAUGCACUGUUGACAUAACUUGGCAUCAUCCUCAAAUUGCGCAAAGGAUAGGAAUUCAAGAAGAAGAAGAAGAAGAUAUAAAAAAAAAA